rnacentral:rRNA from 1 species
CCUUUGAGGAUAUGGGUCUGACCUACCCGGUGAAAUUUAAACGGUUGCAACUAGGUUGUACUAAGGUAGCAUAAUCAGUCGUUUUUUAAUUGGAAAAUAGAAUGAAGGGUUAGACGUAGAACAGCUGUUUCAUAAAAAUCAUGCGAAGUUAUCUUUUAAGUGAAAAGACUUAAGUUUUUGUAAAAGACGAGAAGACCCCGUCGAGUUUAAUUUGGGUAGUAAAUUUUUUUACUCUUUAAAAUUUUGUUGGGGCAACAGAAAAUAAUUUUUAUCAUUUUUUUUAAUUGUGAACCUUUUAUGAAAAAGAGAGAAAAAACUACCGCGGGGAUAACAGCGUUAUCUUCUUUGAAAGCUCUAAUUGAGGAGAAGGUUUGCGACCUCGAUGUUGGAUUAGGGAAACUUUAUGGUGCAGCAGCUAUAAAAGUAAGACUGUUCGUCUUUUAAUUCUUUACAUGAUUAGUU